GCGGAAGUGGUGGAAUCGGUAGACACGCUAUCUUGAGGGUGUAGUGGAGCAAUCCGUGCGGGUUCAAAUCCCGCCUUCCGCA
rnacentral:tRNA from 1 species